rnacentral:rRNA from 1 species
GAUGAACGCUGGCGGCGUGCCUAAUACAUGCAAGUCGAGCGAACGGACGAGAAGUUUGCUUUUCUGUUGUUAGCGGCGGACGGGUGAGUAACACGUGGAUAACCUACCUAUAAGACUGGGAUAACUUCGGGAAACCGGAGCUAAUACCGGAUAAUAUUUUGAACCGCAUGGUUCAAUAGUGAAAGACGGUCUUGCUGUCACUUAUAGAUGGAUCCGCGCUGCAUUAGCUAGUUGGUAAGGUAACGGCUUACCAAGGCAACGAUGCAUAGCCGACCUGAGAGGGGGAUCGGCCACACUAGAACUGAGACACGGUCCAGGCUACUGCGGGAGGCAGCAGUAGGGAAUCUUCCGCAAUAGGCGAGAGCCUGGCGGAGCGACGCCACGUGAGUGAUAGAAGUCUUCGGAUCGUAAAACUCUGUUAUUAGGGAAGAACAUAUGUGUAAGUAACUGUACACAUCUUGACGGUACCUAAUCAGAAAGCCACGGCUAACUACGUG